UUUCGGUAACAUCAGACAAUU
rnacentral:piRNA from 1 species